CGGUGAGGGUGGCGAUACUGGCCUCUCUCUCUCUCUCUCUCGCUCUCUCUCUUUUUUCUUUAUUUCUCUCUUUUUCUCUUACUCUUUCUCUCUCUUUCUCUCCAUCGCGGUGUUUCAGUGAGGAUUAUAAACAUUAACAACGACAAAAAAAUAAACAAGUUGGUUCGUCGUCACAGCUGUACGGUGAUCAGUGCAGCUUGUUCUACAUCCUAGUGUUCUGGUAAUGUACACACUGUUGUUCUUCUUCCAAGUAAAGUUCUGUUAAUGUACACUGUUGUUCAGCCCCGUA